rnacentral:rRNA from 1 species
CUACGGAGGAUCCGAGCGUUAUCCGGAUUUAUUGGGUUUAAAGGGUGCGCAGGCGGGAGAUUAAGUCGGCGGUGAAAUUUUGCAGCUCAACUGUAAAAGUGCCUUCGAAACUGGUUUCCUUGAGUGUAGAUGAAGUAGGCGGAAUUUGUGGUGUAGCGGUGAAAUGCAUAAAUAUCACGAGGAACUCCGAUUGCGCAGGCAGCUUACUAAACUACUACUGACGCUCAGGCACGAAGGCGUGGGGAUCAAACAGGAUUAGAUACCCUGGUAGUCCACGCAGUAAACGAUGAUUACUAGCUGUUUGCGAUACAAUGUAAGCGGCUGAGCGAAAGCGUUAAGUAAUCCACCUGGGGAGUACGUUCGCAAGAAUGAAACUCAAAGGAAUUGACGGGG